rnacentral:rRNA from 1 species
GAUGAACGCUAGCUACAGGCUUAACACAUGCAAGUCGAGGGGAAACGAUAGAGAAAGCUUGCUUUUUCUAGGCGUCGACCGGCGCACGGGUGAGUAACGCGUAUCCAACCUGCCCACCACUUGGGGAUAACCUUGCGAAAGUAAGACUAAUACCCAAUGAUAUCUCAAGAAGACAUCUGAAUGAGAUUAAAGAUUUAUCGGUGAUGGAUGGGGAUGCGUCUGAUUAGCUUGUUGGCGGGGUAACGGCCCACCAAGGCGACGAUCAGUAGGGGUUCUAAGAGGAAGGUCCCCCACAUGGGAACUGAGACACGGUCCAAACUCCUACGGGAGGAAGCAGUGAGGAAUAUUGGUCAAUGGGCGAGAGCCUGAACCAGCCAAGUAGCGUGCAGGAUGACGGCCCUAUGGGUUGUAAACUGCUUUUAUAAGGGAAUAAAGUGAGUCUCGUGAGGCUUUUUGCAUGUACCUUAUGAAUAAGGACCGGCUAAUUCCGUGCCAGCCGCCGCCGUAA